rnacentral:lncRNA from 1 species
AUCUAGGAUUCUAAUGCUAUGAAUAUGUGUGUGCAUGCCCUUGUCGAAUGAGGACCUACAUAUAUUCUAGAGUAUUACUUGUUAAUUGCGAUUAACAUGUGAACCAAUUUCUAGGAUAAGUAAGACAACGCCAGUACUUACGAUGCCUUGUGAUGACUCAAACUCUUUUCGUUCUUAAUGAUUUCUACUUGUUAAACCUAUGAACACGCCAUUCUAGAUUGCAUGCUAGGGGCUAAGUUAAGUUGAAAACGCCAUUCUCUUGACAUACUACGUAAGAAAGAGUAAUAGGUUGAGUUCUAACAUUGAGCCAACUUGAGCAUCUUCAUCCGGAAAUAAAAGAAAUUUGAAUGAAACAUAACAUGCUUGCAUGAUUAUUUGGUGGUGGAUAGCAAUACCCCUAACUCGUUUUUCUUAAUUUGUGAACUACUUAAAAUUUGUUUCUGUCCUGUUUUUGUUCAAUUUAAUUUAAAUAGCAAAUCAACUUCAAAAAUCCCAAAAAUUUGUAGAAGUGUAGCUCUGUGUGCAGUGUCUUCAUAUAAAAUUUCGUAGAAUUUAGAUAAGUGUAAGUCGGUCUAAUAAUUAUUUUUCGGUGGCUGGUCAGUAAGGACAGCAACCGGUUUUUGGUGACAUUUUAAGUAGUUAGAUAAAACAAUCUUCUGCGGGAAAGACCCUUAUUUUCAUAUGCUACAAUUGACAAAUCUUAGUGUUAAUAAGGAAAAUUAAUAGGACAUUUAUGUGCUACUUUGUAGUGUGCUUUUAAUCCUAUCAAAUUUUUGGCGCCGUGUUGCCGGGGAUUGUUAUUUCUAAUUACUUAUUUCUCUAUUGUUUUAUUUUCUUGUCUAAUUAGUGUUUUUGUUUUGUUUUUGUGUCAGGUACUCUUCGUAGUAUAUGCAUACUCGAAGAUCCAAGAACCAUUUCCCCUUGGAUGAUUACUCUUGGUAUCGUCCGGCUGCGGAUGUAAAAGCAAGCGCUUAUUGGGAGGCAACCCAAUAUUUCUAUUCAUUGUCUUGUUAUGUCAUUUUCAAUUUUCCAUUUGUUUUUGUUUUCUGAAUUUUCUUGCAUGCUAAACUGAUUUAUUUCUUUUCUUUGUAGGAAAAUUUGGUUAUGUCCACCCUUGAAGUUGAUUGUAAAAUUGGAGUUUGGGGGUCAUCACUUGAUUUUACUACAAAUUGGGGAAGUUUUCAGUCCAAAUGCUUUAUUUUGUUUCUUUUAUUUUAUUUUAUUUUUAUUUUAUGCAUUAAUGUGUUUUUUUUUUUUUUGACAUUGGGGACAAUGUCCAGUUUAGGUUUGGGGGUAAGGAUUGAAAAAAUGACCAAAUUGAAAUUUUUUGUACCUUUGACUAAGAACUGGUUUGAUUUGUUUCCGCAUUGUUUCUUUUUGUUUUCUUAAUUAGUUUUGUUUACUUUAAAAAAAUACAAAAAAAAAAACAUUCAGAAAAUUUGAAAAUCCAAAAAUAUUGUCUUAUUUUCUUUAUCGUUUUGAAGUAGAUUUUUGUUAGUUUCCCGACCCAAUGAUAUAAUUGGAUUAAAUUUAAACCACGGUGAUCAAGAACUUAGUAAGCAUGUGUUGUGUGAAAUUCCUUAUUCUCUUGUUAGCCUUGUACAUGUUUAAUCAUCUUUGAAAAACCAAAUGCACAUAGCCUUGUUGAUGUGAAACUAAAGUAUGACUUAAAGCUUCACAUGUGAAUAUAGUGACCAUAUACAACCUAUGUGAGUUUUUGAGCCUAUUAAAAGUGUGUGCAUUUUUCAUACACUCAUAUUCUUUCAUGUGUGAUGAACUUAUGUUAAUUACAUCUCUAGAACUUGCGUAACGAUCUUUUGAAAUGUUUGUCAUUGAUUACAUGAACUUGAAAAGGAUAGAGGCAUUAGGUUUAUCACCAUGGCCCAAAUAAGCAUGUUUCCUAAAGAAAAAUGAUAUUAUUAGAUUGCCAAUUUGAGCCAUAUAUGUUAAGCCUUUUAUUUCUUAUCAUCAGAUAUGUCUACCCUUAUACCUUGAACAUUUUUCCUUACCCUUUCCAAGCUAGCUAGUGAGCAAUGUGAGAUUGUCUUAUGAGUAAUGUUUGUGAAGUACUUUGAAGGAGUUUGGAAAAAGAAUAAGUGUGGGGGUAUUUCAUGUUUGUAUUUAGUUAUGUGCAAAAUUGGUUCCAAAAAAAAAAAAGAAGAAGAAAAAAAAAGAAAAUUGUAUACAAAGAAAAUAAAAAGUUUUUUUUUUUAAGUUUCAGUUUAGGGGUGUGGUUGGAGGUAUUAGUAGAAUGGUUGGAGAGCUUGAGUUCUUGUAAAUCUCAACAAGAGAAUUGCUUGCAAUGUAGCUUGGAACUUGUGUUUACCUAUCCUUUCAUUUCUAUAACCCUCUCCCUAAGCCUCAUUACAACCAAUAAAAGUCCUCUUGAUUUAAGUUUUGCAAUUAUGAUUGUGGAGAUGAGAUCUUUAUACAAGCUUAUGGUAGAUCUUUCACAUUUGAUUCUUUGAGCGAAAUACGUUAAACUAAAUAUAUGUGUGAUUGAGUGUAUGUCCCGUGAGAAGGUCAUUAGUUUGCGUGUGGUGUUUUCAAAAAAAACUUGAAAUUGCAUUAGCAUGGCUAUUACACACACUACACUUCAUGGAUGAUUAAAAGGUUACUGCUAACAUUUGAAUAAGGAAGAUGAGCUUGGAUUAGCUUGUUUGGUGCUAGCUAAGGUUUUUGAUUAUUUGUUUUCUUAAAUGAAAUUCUAUGAGGGUCACAUAGGGGAAUCUAUUGUUUUUCAUGUUGCUACUUUUUCAUAUUUUCUUUGUUUUGCUCGAGGACUAGCAAAAGCUAAGUGUGGGGGUAUUUGAUAAGCUCAUAUUUAUAUAUAUUUUACAUCAAAUUCACUUGUCUUUUCUUAGUUAGUUCCUUAUAUUUUUGAGCUAUUUACUUUGUUUUUGUGUUUUGUGGGAUUUGUCAAGCAAAUAAAAGAAAAAUAGCACAAGUAGGAUUUUUAGUAACAAAUUCGUCAAAACUGCCUGUGCAGAUCAGCUGACUUUGGAAGCAAGUUGCGAACCGCUCCGAAUGAAUUAGAGAAUGAGCCUUAUAUGCUUGGAAAGCUACGGAUGUCUAUUUUCUAGAACAUUUCGUGGAUUGUUAAUAUCAUUUUUCUAGAAGAAGUUAUGGCCGUUUUAAUACUGAAAGGUUUCCAAGACGCUAAGCAGUUUGUAACUGCAUUGAAAGCAAUAAAUCCAAUAAAACUAGCAGCCAAAACUAAUGCAGCCAAGAACAAGUCAGCUGACACCUCUUCAAAUAUCAGAUGAAAUUGAAUUAAAAAUGAGGAUUAAGAGGGAGUAAUUGGCAUAAAGGCUACCUAAAGUGUUACAAUUGUUUUACCACAUUUCCUCUCACUUAUUGUCAUCAUUAAAUGGCUAUUAGUGGGUGAGUUAAGGAGAAGAAAAUGAUGCAGCAAGAAUGGGUUUAAAAGCAGCAUUGGGGAAGGAAGGAAGGGGGGAGGAAGCCUCGGUCGAUUUCUUUCGGUUCUAUCUUCUCAAACUCAUGUGUAUCUUUUGUUUUAACUUAAGGAUUGUGUGUAACUAAAUUUUUAGUAGUUAGGGGCUGUUUUGAAGCCCCAAAUAUGAUUGCAAUUUUGUUAUGACAUUUCGUUGAAUUACUUUUAUGAAUGGAUGAAAA